rnacentral:snoRNA from 1 species
AGGUGCUUGCUUCUUCAGCACAUAUACUAAAAUUGGAACUAUAUAGCAAUUAGCAUGGCCCCUGCACAAGAAUGACACGCAAAUUCAUGAAGCAUUCCAUAUUUUUGAAACUACGAGGAGGAGGCGCAGUGUCCUUUCCUGAGUGUGAAGCCGUCUCUUGGUGUUGCUUCACUGCAACUGCCGUUUGCCAUUGAUGAUUGCUCUUGCUUCAGGGGAAGCAAGAGGGAGAGGAUGCAGUCUGAGUAGA